GCUGUGGGUGGAUUCUGGCUCCAUGUGGUCUCCUUGUCUGGGGCUGACGGCCUGUAGUGGUGUGGGUGAUCGUAGGAGAUCCUCCUGUCUGCUGUGCCGUUUCCAGGGAUGUGGGUCGUUCACGGGUGUGCUCUUUUCACGUGUGUCUGGGGGAACUUUUACUUUGGGGACCCCUCCUUUCGCUUGCCCUAGCUACUUUUAGGCCGAAGCCCUUGAUUAACUUUUGUUUUUGCAUUUUCUUUUGUUUGGAUCCUUUGUAUUAAUAAAAUAUUAUUGUGACUAA